UUUUUUUUUUUUUUUUUUUUUUGUAUUUUUAGUAGAGAUGGGGUUUCACCGUGCUAAGUCAGGACGGGCUCAAUCUCCUGACCUUGUGAUCGGCCCGCCUCGGCCUCCCAAAGUGCUGGGAUUACAGGCCUGAGCCACUGCGCCCGGCCCAGGAUCAUUUUUAAAACAGGAAGUCCAAUCAUGUCAAUUCUCUGCUCAGAACUUUUCAUUGGCUUCUCACCUCAGUACAGAAGACAGAUUUCCUACAGUUGCCUGCAAGUCUCUGGAUAAUCUGCCUCCUCUUCCUCUCAGACUCUACCUCACACUACUCUCCUUCUCCCUCCCUCCCUUCCAGCCACUCUGGGCCUUGCAUCUCCAUAUACCACACAGGAUCUCAUCUUAAUGUAUUUGACUUCAUGCUUCCUCUCCUCUUUCACAUCUCUGUUCAUGUGCCCAUAUCAGUAAGACCUUCCCUGACCAUCUGCAUACCCAGCAGCCACCUUGGAUCAAGUCUUUAUUGUUGUCCCUAUUUCCCUGCUUUAUAGUACAUAUCACCAUUGGGAUAUUAUAUUUAUGGCAUACUGUGUAUUUGUGUGUUGACUAUCUUUUGACACUAAAAGAUAAAUUCCUUGAGAACAGAUACUUUUUCCCUCCAUUGUUAUACUCAGCACACAUCGAACGGUGUCCAGUGCACACCGCACAUUGUAUUUACCUCAUUAACCUUAUUGAAUAAACAAACUAGUUUUUGAAACUGGGAAAUUUUUGCACAAAAACUGAUAUAUCUCUUUUUUUUUUUUUUGAGACGGAGUCUGGCUCUGUCGCCCAGACUGGAGUGCAGUGGCCAGAUCUCAGCUCACUGCAAGCUCCGCCUCCCGGGUUUAUGCCAUUCUCCUGCCUCAGCCUCCUGAGUAGCUGGGACUACAGGCGCCCGCCUAAUAUAUCUCUUUUUUGGGGGGGAAAAAAAAGAUGAUGUCUAUGAACCCAUAGCUCCUCUGUAUCUCCUCGGCAUUGGGCCCAGCAGCUGAGGAUGAAAGGGAGUAGAUCCACUUUGGAGGGUGUGAGCCCUCCAGUUUACAAGGUCCCCCCUCACUCACUUGCCAGCCUAGACUCCAUAGGCACUUGAGUGUUUUUUAAAAUCUUGUUUAGUUUUUGUGGGGUUGUUUGUUUUUUGGCUUAAAAAACAGAAAUGUAUUAUCUCACAGGCACUUGAGUUUUUGAGAAUCAACUGUAAACUUUUAGCCUUUAAAGUCAUUAGAACAAGAAGCGAAGCUCGAUUGCUUCCCCUCCUCCCCUGCCUGUGCUGCACUGGGAGGAAAGAGCUGAGAUGGAUUAACCACCCUUCAGCCAGAUGACAGGAACACACAUAGCAAUCCACCCAGUGGCAAUAUAAAGACUCUGCUCAGUGAAGCCACGGCUGCCUGCAGUAUCUUAGUAAGAAAAUAAAUAAAUAAACAGCCCCUAAACAUUGACCAGCAUGCCCGCCCCGAAGCACCCCAGUGUUGUGAAAUAAAGGGAGGGGCUCUGAAGCUGUGCAGCUGUCAUUCAAAUCCUGCCUCUGCCAUUUAUCGCUGGUUGACUUCAGGCAAAUAUUUUCAUCUCUCCAUUUCUCAAUUUUCUGAUCUGUAAUAUGAAGACGAUAAUAAUAUCGACCUCACACAACUCUCUUGAAAGGCCUCACUAAUGAUCACUCAGUAAGAGUAGCUAUUGUAUCUAUUCAGAUUUGUAUUCCUUUCGUUACCAUUAGACUGCAAGCUCCUUUUAAAGUCAAGGAUGAUGUUAUCUAUUCUUGAAUCCUCAUGCCCCACAGCUGUGAUUCUCAGGGUAAUGGGUUGGGAGUAAUUCUAAAUUACAGAGAAUGGAAGGGGCUAUUUCAAGUUAUAAAGGGGGCUUUCUUCCCUGGUUUUCUGAAAGCUGGCUAGGCCCAGUGGAGUCUGUUGCAUAUUUUCCAACAACCACAUUUUCAAUGACUUAGGACUCUGGAGUCAGACCGCUGAGGCCUGAAUCCUGACUCUUUCAGCUGUGUGACUUUAGACAAUUGUUCUGCUUCCCUAUGCCUCAAUCUCCAAAGUGGUCAUACCAGAAGGUGGAGCCUUUGAUAUGUGAUUAGGUAAUGUUAGCUCAUGAAGGUUUAGUACCCUUAUAAGGGGAUAAAAAGACGUUUCCACCAGGUGAUAGCACCGAAAGAAAGUGCUCCUUUUCCACCAUGGCCUCCCUUUCCAUCAUGUGAUGACACAAGAAGGUGCUCUCUAUUAACCAGAAAGUGAGCCCUCCUCGGACACUGAAUCUGCUGCUACUUUAAUCUUGAACUUGCCCGUUUCCAGAACUGUAACAAAUUUCUCUUGUUUGUUUCUAUGAAAUUUCCAUGGCAUUUAUUAUAGCAGCCAAAAAUGAACUUAUAUAUUAUAUGUACAUAUGUUUAAGAUUAUAUAUAUGUGAAGAUAUGUAUAUAUCUUACAUAUUAUAUAUAUACAUUUAAGAUUGUAUAUAUUUUAAGCUAUACAUAUCUUAACAUAAGAUAUACAUAUCUUUACAUAUAUGUUUAUGUUUAAGAUAUAUAUAUACACAUCUAUGUUAUGCUUAAGUAAAAUGAAUGACAGCAAUGAUAUGAGGGAUAAACUAGGAUUAUUUUGUUAUUAUAAGAUAUUCACACUACCUGUGAGGUGGACAGUGUUAUUUAAGAAGCUACUUGGAUUACUUCUAAGUGUAUGUUGCAAACUCUAGAGCAAUCACUUAAAAAGGUUUAAAAAUGUAUAACUGAUAUGCUAAGAAAGAAGAGAAAAUGAAAUCAUAUAAAAUGCUCAAUCAAAACAACAGAAGGCAGAAAAAUGUAGAAGACAAAAAUAGAACAAGGGCAAGAAAUAGAAAAUAGAAACAAAUAUGGUAUAUAAUAAUCUAACUAUAUCACUAAUCAUUUUGAACAUCAAUGAAAUAAAUGCUUCCAUUAAAAUACAUAUAUUGUCAGAGGGGAUCAGAAAACAAAACUUAAAUGUAUGUUUUCUGCAAGAAACCUACUUUAUUUUUUGAGACACUACUUUGUCAAAAAAGAAAAGAAAACAGAAAAAAAGAAAAGAAAAGAAAAGAAAGAGGGAGUAGCUAUAUUUAUUUCAGAAAAAGCAAACUUCAGAGCAAGAAAAAUUUUUGAGGAUAUAGUGGGUCAUUACAUGCUGAGAAAAGGUUCAAUUCUCCAAGAAGACAUAAUAAUCAUUAAUGUGAUUCACCUAACCACAAAGCAGCAAACUGUGUGAUGCAAAAACUUAGAGAACUUCAAGGGGAAAUAGAUGAAUCCACUAUUAAGGUUAAAGACUUCAACAUUCCUUUAUCAGAAAUAGACAGACCUUGCAGGGAGAAAAUCAGAAAAUAACAUAGUUGAAUUCAGCAACACAUCAAUCCACUGAAUAUAAUGGACAUCUACAGACUAUAUCAUCCAGCGACAGUAGAAUACACAUUCUUUUCAAGCUCACAUGGAAAAUUCACCAAAAUAGACCACAUUCUGGGCCAAAAAACACAUCUUAACAAACUUAAAGGAACACAAAUUAUACAACGUCUGCUCUCAGACUACAAAAAAUUAAACUAGAAAUUAAUCACAAGAAGGUAGUUGAAAAAUUCUAAAACACUUGAAGAAUAAACAACACAUUCCAAAUAACACACAGGCCAAGAGUGAAAUCUCAAGAGAAAUUUAAAAAUAUUUUGAACUGAAUGAAAAUGAAAAUAGAAAUUAUCAAAAUUUGAGAAAUGCAUCAAAAGCAGUGCCUACAAAUAAAUGUAUAGCACUGAAUGCAUA
rnacentral:lncRNA from 1 species